rnacentral:rRNA from 1 species
GAUGAACGCUAGCGGCAGGCUUAACACAUGCAAGUCGAGGGGUAUAUGUCUUCGGAUAUAGAGACCGGCGCACGGGUGCGUAACGCGUAUGCAAUCUGCCUUCCAACAAAGGAAUAGCCCAGAGAAAUUUGGAUUAAUGCCUUAUAGCAUAUAGAAAUGGCAUUCUUUUUAUAUUAAAGUAUUUAUCGGUGGAAGAUGAG